rnacentral:lncRNA from 13 species
AUGAGAGUCCUGCAGUGUGGGUGUGCUGAGGAGCGUGACACCAGUUCGGUGUCAUCUGCACCGGUUUCACGCAUCUGGCCUCCAGUUCGCCUCCCCAGUCCGGUACAUCCUGUGUUUCCUCCAUGUACUCGCCCUGAAGUAUGUGUCACCGUUCCGGUACAAUUUGAGCCAGCCCUAUGCACCAGUUCUCCAGUGUGCCUCCACAGCCCAGUACGUCCUGCGCCAGCUCCCCGCACUCGCCGUGCGAAGUGUGUCAUCGUUCCGAUACAAUUUGUGCCGGUUCUACGCACCAGGUCUCCAGUGCGCCUCCACAGCCCAGUACGUUUAGUGCUAGCUCCCCGCACUCACAGUGCAGAGUGUGUCAUCGUUCCGGCACCAUCUGUGCCAGCUCUACACACCAGGUCUCCAGUGCGUCUCCACAGCCCAGUACGUUUAGUGCUAGCUCCCCGCACUCACCGUGCAGAGUGUGUCAUUGUUCCGGCACCAUCUGUGCCAGCUCUACACACCAGGUCUCCAGUGCGCCUCCACAGCCCAGUACGUCCUGUGCCUCCUCCUCGCACUCUCCCUGAAGUGCGUGUCCCCAGUCCGGUACGUCCUGUGCCUCCUCCUCGCACUCUCCCUCAAGUGCGCCUUCCCAGUCAGGUACGUCCUGUGCCUGCUCCCCGCACUCGCCCCGAAGUGCAUGUCACCAGUCUGGUGCCACCUGUGCCGGCCCCACGCAUCAGACCUACAGUGCGCCUCCCCAGUCCAGAGCUUCAGGCGACAGUCCCCAGUCCAGAGCUUCAAGCGCCGGUCCCCAGUCCACGUUUCACGGUCCGGAACCUCCUGAGACGGUCCACGGUCUGGAACCUCCUGAGACGGUCCACGGUCCGGAACCUACUGCAACGGUCCACGGUCCAGAACCUCCAGCUCCAUGGCAGGAGCCCUUCUCUGUGUCGAUGCCCAGUCCAGGCACCGUGUCCAGUCCUGCUCCAUGGCAGGAGCCUUCCUCGGCGCCGAUGCCCAGUCCGAGCACAGCGUCCAGUCCAGCUCCAUGGCAAGAGCCCUUCUCUGCGCCGAUGCCCAGUCCAGGCACGGCAUCGAGUCUCGCUCCAUGGCAGGAGCCUUCCUCUGCGUUGA